CACCACAAACCUCCUUGUCAAAGCCUGAUGCUGUCAGAUCUCAGAAGCUAAACAAGAAUGGGCUUGGUUAAUAUUUGGAUGGUUAGACCACUGACAACUCCUGAUGCCAGAGUGGAGC
rnacentral:rRNA from 1 species